UGUUCUGGGCUACACACGUGCUACAAUGGCCGGUACAGACGGAGGCGAAGCCGCGGAGGCGGAAGCCAAAAUCCGAAAAAGCCGGUCUCAGUUCGGAUUGCAGGCUGCAAUUCGCCUGCAUGAAGUCGGAAUCGCUAGUAAUCGCAGGUCAGCAUACUGCGGUGAAUACGUUCCCGGGCCUU
rnacentral:rRNA from 1 species